GGCGCACGGGUGCGUAACGCGUAUGCAAUCUACCUUUUACAGAGGGAUAGCCCAGAGAAAUUUGGAUUAAUACCUCAUAGUAUAUAGACUCGGCAUCGAGAUUAUAUUAAAGUCACAACGGUAAAAGAUGAGCAUGCGUCCCAUUAGCUAGUUGGUAAGGUAACGGCUUACCAAGGCUACGAUGGGUAGGGGUCCUGAGAGGGAGAUCCCCCACACUGGUACUGAGACACGGACCAGACUCCUACGGGAGGCAGCAGUGAGGAAUAUUGGACAAUGGGCGCAAGCCUGAUCCAGCCAUGCCGCGUGCAGGAUGACGGUCCUAUGGAUUGUAAACUGCUUUUGUACAGGAAGAAACACUGGUUCGUGAACCAGCUUGACGGUACUGUAAGAAUAAGGAUCGGCUAACUCCGUGCCAGCAGCCGCGGUAAUACGGAGGAUCCAAGCGUUAUCCGGAAUCAUUGGGUUUAAAGGGUCCGUAGGCGGUUUAAUAAGUCAGUGGUGAAAGCCCAUCGCUCAACGGUGGAACGGCCAUUGAUACUGUUAAACUUGAAUUAUUAGGAAGUAACUAGAAUAUGUAGUGUAGCGGUGAAAUGCUUAGAGAUUACAUGGAAUACCAAUUGCGAAGGCAGGUUACUACUAAUUGAUUGACGCUGAUGGACGAAAGCGUGGGUAGCGAACAGGAUUAGAUACCCUGGUAGUCCACGCCGUAAACGAUGGAUACUAGCUGUUGGGAGCAAUCUCAGUGGCUAAGCGAAAGUGAUAAGUAUCCCACCUGGGGAGUACGUUCGCAGA
rnacentral:rRNA from 1 species